AGCAUUCGUUAAAAAAAAUGAAAUGGAGCCAUACGUACCUCCGGCUACAAAAUUCACGGUUUGUAGAAACGUACACGAGACUACAUAUUCAGAAUGAGCCUGUGUUGGUCACAACCUCUGUGUGGUUGCAUUAAAAAGUGACCAAAAUCCAACAGUGAUGUUGGACACUGACAGUGGUCCGACGUUAGGCUCUGACAUCAACUCGAUUUUGCAACACAGGCGCUUUCUGAAAAUGUAUUCCUGUUUACGUUUCAGGAGACCGCAAAUUAUGUAGCCAGAGCUUAAAGGGCCAUGAAACCCCCUCGUUUCAACAGGGUGU